CUGAUGGAGCAACGCCGCGUGAACGAUGAAGGUCUUCGGAUUGUAAAGUUCUGUUGUCAGAGACGAACAAGUACCGUUCGAACAGGGCGGUACCUUGACGGUACCUGACGAGAAAGCCACGGCUA
rnacentral:rRNA from 1 species